GUGCUCCCUUCAGCAGCAAAUAUACUAAAAUUGGAACGAUACAGAGAAGAUUAGCAUGGCCCCUGCACAAGGAUGACACGCAAAUUCGUGAAGCAUUCCAUAUUUUU
rnacentral:snRNA from 1 species